AUGGCCACCCGCCCCCACCGUUUCCUCCUCCUCCCCGUGCUACUCCUGCUGCUCAGCGUCUCCUCCGCGAGCGCCAAUGGCGAUGUAGUCACGGCGGGGAGCGGGAAGGUUAGCAUGGCGCUCUACUAUGAGUCGCUGUGCCCCUUCUCAGCGCACUUCGUGGUGAACAGCCUCGCCAGACUCUUCAAGGAUGGACUCCUUGAUGCCGCGGACCUCACCCUCGUUCCCUAUGGCAACGCCAAGGUGGACGCGCACGGUGCCAUCACCUGUCAGCAUGGCCCCGAUGAAUGCCUUCUCAACAACGUGGAGGCUUGCGCCAUCGAAGCCUGGCCGGAUUUGAAUGUGCAUUUCGGUUUCAUCAACUGCGUGGAGGACCUGGUGAUGAACCGCAAGUGCGAGGAAUGGGAGUCGUGCUUCCAGAAACAGGGGCUUGACCCCAAGCCUGUCAUGGAGUGCUACAACAGUGAGCAUGGCCACAAGCUUUCGCUCAAGUAUGGGAAACAGACUGAUGCGCUUGUGCCCCCGCACAAGUACGUUCCAUGGGUGGUGGUUGAUGGCCAGCCGCUGUAUGAGGACUACGAGAACUUCGAAGCUUACGUCUGCAAGGCUUACAAGGGCCAUCCUCCCAAGAUUUGCCAAGGGCUGGGCCGUGACUACCCAAUCGUACAACAGGUGGUGGAGGCUGGCAACGGUGUCACCUACAACUCCGGCGAUUUCGAGCUGGAUGAAGGGGUCGACGACAAGAUUAAGAUUAAGAUGGUCCAGGGUGAUGACAAUUGA
rnacentral:rRNA from 1 species